GUUUUUAUAGUUUAAAUUAAAACAUUGGUCUUGUAAACCAAAAUUAAGUAUAAUCUUUAUAAACU
rnacentral:tRNA from 1 species